rnacentral:rRNA from 1 species
UACAGAGGGGGCAAGCGUUGUCCGGAUUUAUUGGGCGUAAAGAGCUCGUAGGCGGUUCGGUAAGUCGAAUGUGAAAUCUCCACGCUCAACGUGGAGGGUCAUUCGAAACUGCCGUGACUUGAGUACGGUAGGGGAGUGUGGAAUUCCCGGUGUAGCGGUGAAAUGCGCAGAGAUCGGGAGGAACACCCGUAGCGAAGGCGGCACUCUGGGCCGAUACUGACGCUGAGGAGCGAAAGCGUGGGAGCAACAGG